GGGGAUGUAGCUCAGUGGAAGAGUGCCCACUUCGCAUGUCGGCGGUCCUGGGUUCAGGUGCCAGCAUCUCCA
rnacentral:tRNA from 1 species